rnacentral:SRP_RNA from 4 species
UAUUGGUCCCCUCGCAACGAUAACCUGUGAACCCCGCCAGGCCCGGAAGGGAGCAACGGUAGCAGGCGACUCGUGUGCCGGGGUGUGGCUGAUAGAG